rnacentral:rRNA from 1 species
CUUAACCUGGGGGAGGUUCAUUG